rnacentral:rRNA from 1 species
CCGGUUCGGCCCCGAGUUGUAAUUUGCAGAGGACGUUUCGGGCGCGGCGCGGGUCUAAGUCCUUUGGAACAGGGCGUCGGAGAGGGUGAGAAUCCCGUAUGCGACCCGUGACCAACCCCCCACGAAACCCCUUCGACGAGUCGAGUUGUUUGGGAAUGCAGCUCAAAAUGGGUGGUAAAUUUCAUCUAAAGCUAAAUACCGGCCAGAGACCGAUAGCGCACAAGUAGAGUGAUCGAAAGAUGAAAAGCACUUUGGAAAGAGAGUCAAACAGUACGUGAAAUUGUUGAAAGGGAAGCGCUUGCGACCAGACCUGUCCGGGGGUGAUCAACCUCCGUUCUCGGGGGUGCACUCGCCCGCGAUCAGGCCAGCAUCGGUUCGGGCGGUCGGAUACAGGCCUUGGGAAUGUAGCUUCCUUCGGGGAGUCUUAUAGCCCUCGGUGCAAUGCGGCCAGCCCGGACCGAGGACCGCGCUUCGGCUAGGAUGCUGGCGUAAUGGUCGUAAGCGACCCGUCUUGAAACACGGACCAAGGAGUCUAACAUCUAUGCGAGUGUUUGGGUGUCAAACCCAUGCGCGGAAUGAAAGUGAACGGAGGUGAGAACCCUGNAAGGGCGCAUCAUCGACCGAUCCAGAUGUCUUCGGAUGGAUUUNGAGUACGAGCAUAGCUGUUGGGACCCGAAAGAUGGUGAACUAUGCCUGAAUAGGGUGAAGCCAGAGGAAACUCUGGUGGAGGCUCGCAGCGGUUCUGACGUGCAAAUCGAUCGUCAAAUUUGGGUAUAGGGGCGAAAGACUAAUCGAACCAUCUAGUAGCUGGUUCCUGCCGAAGUUUCCCUCAGGAUAGCAG